rnacentral:rRNA from 1 species
GCGGUAGCAAUCUUUCUUGUGCACUUCUUUGUUUGGCAGGUUAGCAUCAAUUUCGGUUGUCAUCAAAAAAUUGAGGGAAUGUGACUUCUUUCGGGAAGUGUUAUAGACCUUGAUAUAUGUGGUGAUCGGGAUUGAGGAUUGCAGCGGAUGCUUUUGGGCUAGUCACCUACCUUCUGACGGUUACCCCGCUUUCGAUAGCUUGCUAACGACUGUGGGAUUUAACAGUCUAGAUGUUGGAGUGAUCUUAUAUUCGUUAAGGAUGUUGACGUAAA